AGGAGCUUGCUCCUUUGACGUUAGCGGCGGACGGGUGAGUAACACGUGGGUAACCUACCUAUAAGACUGGGAUAACUUCGGGAAACCGGAGCUAAUACCGGAUAAUAUUUCGAACCGCAUGGUUCGAUAGUGAAAGAUGGUUUUGCUAUCACUUAUAGAUGGACCCGCGCCGUAUUAGCUAGUUGGUAAGGUAACAGCUUACCAAGGCGACGAUACGUAGCCGACCUGAGAGGGUGAUCGGCCACACUGGAACUGAGACACGGUCCAGACUCCUACGGGAGGCAGCAGUAGGGAAUCUUCCGCAAUGGGCGAAAGCCUGACGGAGCAACGCCGCGUGAGUGAUGAAGGUCUUCGGAUCGUAAAACUCUGUUAUUAGGGAAGAACAUACGUGUAAGUAACUGUGCACGUCUUGACGGUACCUAAUCAGAAAGCCACGGCUAACUACGUGCCAGCAGCCGCGGUAAUACGUAGGUGGCAAGCGUUAUCCGGAAUUAUUGGGCGUAAAGCGCGCGUAGGCGGUUUUUUAAGUCUGAUGUGAAAGCCCACGGCUCAACCGUGGAGGGUCAUUGGAAACUGGAAAACUUGAGUGCAGAAGAGGAAAGUGGAAUUCCAUGUGUAGCGGUGAAAUGCGCAGAGAUAUGGAGGAACACCAGUGGCGAAGGCGACUUUCUGGUCUGUAACUGACGCUGAUGUGCGAAAGCGUGGGGAUCAAACAGGAUUAGAUACCCUGGUAGUCCACGCCGUAAACGAUGAGUGCUAAGUGUUAGGGGGUUUCCGCCCCUUAGUGCUGCAGCUAACGCAUUAAGCACUCCGCCUGGGGAGUACGACCGCAAGGUUGAAACUCAAAGGAAUUGACGGGGACCCGCACAAGCGGUGGAGCAUGUGGUUUAAUUCGAAGCAACGCGAAGAACCUUACCAAAUCUUGACAUCCUUUGACAACUCUAGAGAUAGAGCCUUCCCCUUCGGGGGACAAAGUGACAGGUGGUGCAUGGUUGUCGUCAGCUCGUGUCGUGAGAUGUUGGGUUAAGUCCCGCAACGAGCGCAACCCUUAAGCUUAGUUGCCAUCAUUAAGUUGGGCACUCUAAGUUGACUGCCGGUGACAAACCGGAGGAAGGUGGGGAUGACGUCAAAUCAUCAUGCCCCUUAUGAUUUGGGCUACACACGUGCUACAAUGGACAAUACAAAGGGCAGCGAAACCGCGAGGUCAAGCAAAUCCCAUAAAGUUGUUCUCAGUUCGGAUUGUAGUCUGCAACUCGACUACAUGAAGCUGGAAUCGCUAGUAAUCGUAGAUCAGCAUGCUACGGUGAAUACGUUCCCGGGUCUUGUACACACCGCCCGUCACACCACGAGAGUUUGUAACACCCGAAGCCGGUGGAGUAACCAUUGGAGCUAG
rnacentral:rRNA from 1 species